rnacentral:rRNA from 1 species
UACGAAGGGGGGCUAGCGUUGCUCGGAAUGACUGGGCGUAAAGGGCGCGUAGGCGGUGCAUUUGGUCAGGCGUGAAAUUCCUGGGCUUAACCUGGGGACUGCGCUUGAGACGGGUGUGCUGGAGGGCAGGAGAGGCUCGCGGAAUUCCCAGUGUAGAGGUGAAAUUCGUAGAUAUUGGGGAAGAACACCGAUGACGAGAGGCAGCUGCUGGACGUGUGAGCGCUG